rnacentral:rRNA from 1 species
GAUGAACGCUGGCGGCGUGCCUAAUACAUGCAAGUCGAGCGAACAGAUGAGGAGCUUGCUCCUCUGACGUUAGCGGCGGACGGGUGAGUAACACGUGGAUAACCUACCUAUAAGACUGGGAUAACUUCGGGAAACCGGAGCUAAUACCGGAUAAUAUAUUGAACCGCAUGGUUCAAUAGUGAAAGACGGUUUUGCUGUCACUUAUAGAUGGAUCCGCGCCGCAUUAGCUAGUUGGUAAGGUAACGGCUUACCAAGGCAACGAUGCGUAGCCGACCUGAGAGGGUGAUCGGCCACACUGGAACUGAGACACGGUCCAGACUCCUACGGGAGGCAGCAGUAGGGAAUCUUCCGCAAUGGGCGAAAGCCUGACGGAGCAACGCCGCGUGAGCGAUGAAGGUCUUCGGAUCGUAAAACUCUGUUAUUAGGGAAGAACAAAUGUGUAAGUAACUAUGCACGUCUUGACGGUACCUAAGCAGAAAGCCACGGCUAACUACGU